GGUCCUACGGGAGGCAGCAGUGAGGAAUAUUGGUCAAUGGGCGGAAGCCUGAACCAGCCAAGUCGCGUGAGGGAAUAAGGCCCUACGGGUCGUAAACCUCUUUUGCCGGGGAGCAAGGGCGGGGACGUGUCCCGGCCCGGAGAGUACCCGGAGAAAAAGCAUCGGCUAACUCCGUGCCAGCAGCCGCGGUAAUACGGAGGAUGCGAGCGUUAUCCGGAUUUAUUGGGUUUAAAGGGUGCGUAGGCGGGCUUUUAAGUGAGAUGUGAAGUACUCGGGCUCAACUUGAGUGCUGCAUUUCAAACUGG
rnacentral:rRNA from 1 species